rnacentral:rRNA from 1 species
AUUGAACGCUGGCGGCAUGCCUUACACAUGCAAGUCGAACGGCAGCAUAGGAGCUUGCUCCUGAUGGCGAGUGGCGAACGGGUGAGUAAUAUAUCGGAACGUGCCCUAGAGUGGGGGAUAACUAGUCGAAAGACUAGCUAAUACCGCAUACGAUCUCCGGAUGAAAGUGGGGGAUCGCAAGACCUCAUGAUCCUGGAGCGGCCGAUAUCUGAUUAGCUAGUUGGUGGGGUAAAAGCCUACCAAGGCAACGAUCAGUAGCUGGUCUGAGAGGACGACCAGCCACACUGGGACUGAGACACGGCCCAGACUCCUACGGGAGGCAGCAGUGGGGAAUUUUGGACAAUGGGGGCAACCUUGAUCCAGCAACGCCGCGUGAGUGAAGAAGGCCUUCGGGUUGUAAAGCUCUUUCGGCAGGAACGAAACGGUCGUCGCUAACAUCGAUGGCUAAUGACGGUACCUGAAGAAGAAGCACCGGCUAACUACGUGCCAGCCGCCGCAGUAA